UGGGGAAUUUUGGACAAUGGGCGAAAGCCUGAUCCAGCAAUGCCGCGUGUGUGAAGAAGGCCUUCGGGUUGUAAAGCACUUUUGUCCGGAAAGAAAUCCUUGGCCCUAAUACAGUCGGGGGAUGACGGUACCGGAAGAAUAAGCACCGGCUAACUACGUGCCAGCAGCCGCGGUAAUACGUAGGGUGCAAGCGUUAAUCGGAAUUACUGGGCGUAAAGCGUGCGCAGGCGGUUUGCUAAGACCGAUGUGAAAUCCCCGGGCUCAACCUGGGAACUGCAUUGGUGACUGGCAGGCUAGAGUAUGGCAGAGGGGGGUAGAAUUCCACGUGUAGCAGUGAAAUGCGUAGAGAUGUGGAGGAAUACCGAUGGCGAAGGCAGCCCCCUGGGCCAAUACUGACGCUCAUGCACGAAAGCGUGGGGAGCAAACAGGAUUAGAUACCCUGGUAGUCCACGCCCUAAACGAUGUCAACUAGUUGUUGGGGAUUCAUUUCCUUAGUAACGUAGCUAACGCGUGAAGUUGACCGCCUGGGGAGUACGGUCGCAAGAUUAAAACUUAAAGGAAUUGAC
rnacentral:rRNA from 1 species